rnacentral:ribozyme from 4 species
CUCGUCUGAGCGAGGGUAAAUAGUGUUUAGGCUCAGAGCGUUCCGGGAAAUUGCCGGAGGU